rnacentral:miRNA from 1 species
AAGAUUUCAAUUUUUCAACUCCUAAGUUCCAAAUUCUGGCAAAUUAUACACUUGCCAGAAUUUGGAACUUAGGAGUUGAAAAAUUGACUUCUCGUUAACUC